rnacentral:rRNA from 1 species
UUACCACCGGUCAAGAAGCUGUUUGAGUGGAAGGGUCUGAAACAUGAUGUUGAAGAUUAUGUGCGGCAGUGCCAGAUUUGUCAACAGGCGAAGCAUGAAUUGCAUAAACCAGUAGGCAAGUUGGCACCCCUGCCCAUUCCGACAGCCCCGUGGCGUGAUCUGACAAUGGACUUCGUCGAGGGCUUGCCCAAGUCCGAAGGGUAUGACACGAUCAUGGUGGUUGUCGACCGCUUCACCAAGCUUGCACACUUUGUGCCCCUGCGACACCCAUUCACGGCGACACGAGUGGCAAGAGUGUUCUGGGACAACAUCGUCAAGCUGCACGGCAUCCCCUCCUCCAUCGUCUCCGACCGCGACAAAGUGUUCACCAGCGUGCUUUGGCGGGAACUGCUCGCC